GACCCCUACCUCAGCGUCGAGAUCCCGCGCUUCCAGCACGCCGACAGCGUCGUCCCCAACGGCGUCGGCGCCGGCGCCGGGGGUGCCAUCGAGCUGGACUUCACGUGCGGCAUCGGCGUCAAGCCCUCCUCCUACAGCUCCUACACGGCAACGUCCCUCGCGCACAGCGUAAGCAGCUUCGUCUUCCCUUGCUUUUGCCUUCGGACACAUAAACACGUCCUGGAAACGCGUGCUGAUGAAUCUUGCCGGUACCUUGAUGCUCUUGCAGGGCUCAUCGUCGGAGGUCGGCGUGGUGCCAGAGGCCUUCUGCGGCGGUGGCGGCGGGAGCUUCGAGCUCGACUUCACCCGGCCCAAGCCCCAAGCCUACAUGCCGUACACCGCGACUCCUCAGAGUCACAGCGUAAGACCCCAACCAAGCUCCGACCUUCCGGACGCACACGUGUAGACACGCCAUGUAGUACACGUACUGAUCAUGUAGAUGCGAACUCGGUUCUCUAUGCAGGUGUCGUCGGUUGACGUGGAGGUGGUGCCGGAGCGGGGGGACAUGGCGGCGGCGAGGCCGGUGCCGCUGAUGGGGGAGAGCCGGGAGGCGCGGCUGAUGCGGUACAGGGAGAAGCGGAAGAACCGGCGGUUCGAGAAGACCAUCCGGUACGCGUCCCGCAAGGCCUACGCCGAGACGCGGCCGCGGAUCAAGGGCCGCUUCGCCAAGCGCGCCGACCACGACGCCGACGCCGACGACGCUGAGGCCGAGGCCGCCGUGCCGUCGUCGUCGUACGUGCUCGACUUCGGCUACGGCGUCGUGCCAAGCUUCUGAUGAUGGCGAUGGUCUCGGUCCACGGAUGGCCGGCCGGCGGCGCCGCGCUUGACCCGGCUCUCGAUGGCGCGCCAGCCUUGUACUUGUAUCGAUGUAUAGGGGAGGAAUAGUAAUCCCAUGUACUCUCUUUCUGCAUUGAGCUAGCCUUAAGUACGCUAGUGAUGUAUAAUUUGUAUACUACUGCUGCUGCUUACUAGUACUAUAUAGCAUGUUUUUGCUAGAAUUUGCCCUCGGUAUUUUUGAAUCAUAUAUCUCUGCAAGAAAUUUGCAGUAAUAUACAGAUGCUACUGAGGAGGAACGGCAAUCCAUUAUUAUGUUAAGUUAAUGGUGUUUAUCAUCAAGUUCGUAGCAAUGCAUCAUCUUAAGUUAAUGGUGUUUAUCGUCAAUUACCCUACAGAUCUGCAGACUAGAACGUAGAUGAAUUGGAUAAAAUGUUUUUGAUAAUUGUUCUAAUUGGAUAAUAUUCAUCAAUCAUCAUCUUAGCACAUUGGAUGCCUCGGCUGGUCAUUGUUACGUUGGGCGGUUGGGGAGUAGUGACUGUCUUUGUUGAACGUAACUCACAUUUGAUCCAGUACAUUAUGCUGGGAGGCACGUGUAGUGUAGGGAUGAAAAAUUUGAAACUUUUUGGGUCAUUGAGUCGGCCCAAACCUGAUGAAAAUAAAAUGGUCCGGAUCUCAAAGCAAGAAUAUGGAACGAAAAUGUUUCUAGGUCACAUAUUCUUCAUCCAUACAUGCUGAUUCAUUCGUUCAUUCAUCAUUUUCUUUCUUGCUCAUGUUCAUUAUACUUUAAUAAUUGACCCAUAUUGUACAGCAAUGCUACCUCGAUGUACGUACCCUAUUAAUCAAAUAUCGAUCCACCGGCAGCGCGACCUUCCUCUUAAGUUUUGAGGGUACAAAUAAGUGGAUAGUAAUUAAGAAUCUCCGAUUCUCCAUUGGAGAUCGAAGAAAAUGGUUAGGAAAUCCGUACCCCUCGGUCCCAAAUUACCAGUUGUUUUGUCUUUUCUAUGUUUAUUUCUUUUGCUAUGCAUAUAGAUACAACAUAUAUUUAGGUGCAUAGCAAAAUCUAUGAAUAAAGAAAAGCUAAAAUGACUAAUAAUUUGGGACGGAUGGAGUAUAUAGUUCGGUAGUUAUGGGCAUUAAAAUAUGUGAAUGCUUAUUAGCAACUCUAAACAAACUUCCAAUGUUUUUUCCGCUAAUUUGCUUUUGACGAUUAUAUCUGGCCCAAUUCCAUGAAUAUAUACAACACACUAGCCUCUACUCUACUCCCUCCGUCCCAAAUUACUAUUCGUUUUGACUUUUCUAAAUACCUAACCUUUGCUAUGUAUGUAGACAUAUCGUAUAUCUAGGUGCAUAGCAAAAGCUAUGAAAAAAAGGUAAACGAAUAGUAAUAUGAGACGGAGGAAGUGCUACUGUACGAUUUUAUUGACAAAGACUUGUCAUUAUCUAAAAAACCCCCGACAUGAUAGUAUCAAAAUGGCCCAUCUCGAAAUGGGCCUAGGGGUCACGACUCUAACCCAAAACUGAGGCAAGACAAAAGAAUAGCUACAAUUCCACGUCCAUGUACGUGUACGUCCAACAGGAAAGUCAGAACCAGUUUAAUGGUUUUGCAUUUUGCCAUUUGUCACUCUGCAUCAGCAUCACUACCAAAGAGGCAAAGACUAGGAACAAAACUUGCGAACAAUUCGAGGCAAUCACAAACCUCAAAGUCAAAAUACGACAGCAUUAUGCUUUCCUUGAUUUUUGGAGGAAGAUUUGGAAGAUGUACGCUAACUAGGCAGACUUAUCUAAAUGAUAGCGGUAUGCCGUAACCUUCAUCUAAAAACCGAUGUUCUUGCCUAAGGUCAAGUUUGAGAAACGAGAGCAUCCACAGUAAUGCUCAUUCGUUUAUUGUUUGUCUGUCAUGUUACCCGGCCGGCUACACCUACAAGCUAGGGUACUGCAAAUGACACCACUUGGUUGUUCAACGAUAAACGUUGCCACAUGCCGUCGUCAUUUGUACGAUUAACUCAAUUGAAUUUUAGCUUACAAGAACUUCAACAAUUAAGUCGUUACACAAAUCACAAAAUAAUGCAUGAUUCAACAGGUGACCAAUUCUGAAACUAAUCACAAAAUUAGAAUGUUCAUAGAUAGAGUACAUAAUCAGAUCUUGAUGGCAUUAGCAUUUCCUGAGAACCUCUUAGCGUACGGGUCGUGCAUGGUCUGCACCGCGGGCAUGGCGCCAAACGCCCCGAAGUUCAUGCUGCUCUUGUCGUCGAUCAACGAGUACUCCUCCACCUCCUCCUCGUCAUCGAUGUCAUCUUCCUCCUCGUCGCCGUCCUCAGGCUCGCCGUAGUACGAGCUGCUCUUAUCCAUCUCCAUCAGGUGGUCCGUGUACUUGACGCUCUGGAUCCUCACCGGCGGCCGGUCGCCGCCUUUGCCGCCGGGCACAUCGGUAUCCUCCCCGCGCAGGAUGCGGACGACGGUGCGCAUGUCCGGGCGUCGGUCGGGCUCUCCCUGCACGCAGAGCGCGGCGCACUCGACGACGCGAGCGAGCUGGUCGGCGUCGAACGCGCCCCGGAGGCGCGGGUCGACGAGGUCCCCGAGUCGGCCGCGCGCGAUGAGCGGCUCGGCCCACUCGGUGAUGGUGCGCUUGGCCCCCGACGGCAGCCGCUCGAUGGGCUUCCGGCCGGAGACGAGCUCGAGGAGGAGGAUGCCGAAGCUGUAGACGUCGCAGGCGCCGGAGACCUUCCCCCACAUGGCGUACUCGGGCGCCAGGUAGCCCAGCGUGCCCUUGACGCGGGUGGUCAUGUGCGAGACCCCCUCGGGGACGAGCUUUGCGAAGCCGAAGUCGGCGACGAGCGGCGCGAAGUCGGAGUCGAGGAGGACGUUGCUGGCCUUGAUGUCGCGGUGGAUGAUGUGGGGCGCCGCCUCGUGGUGGAGGUAGACGAGGCCCUCGGCGGAGCCGACGGCGACGGCGACGCGGCGGGGCCAGUCGAGGCGGGUCUCCGCGGCGAACUGGCCGUGGAGGUGGGAGAGGAGGCUGAGGUUGGGCAUGUAGUCGUAGACGAUCAUGCGGUGGUCGGUGCCGGGGCCGCCGGCGCAGUAGCCGCGGAGGCCGAGGAGGUUCCGGUGGCGCACGCGGGCCAGCACCUCUACCUCCACCGCGAACUCCAUCUCCGCCUUGGAGUUGUUGGUGGCCUUGAGCCUCUUCACCGCGAUCUGCAGGCCGUCAGGCGUCUUGCCCCAGUAGACGCUGCCGAAGCCGCCCUCGCCCAGCUUGUUCUCCUCGCUGAACCCGUUGGUCGCCGCGUGCAGCUCCUUGUAGCUGAAGAUCCUCCACGUGCUGCUCAUGGACGACGCGCUCACGCACCUGACGAUUACAUUGAAAACCGCAGCAGAAAUCAAAUCGAUCGAUCAAAUGGUCUCAUGAGCCUCGAGUACGCAGCAAGCAUCGAGCAUCUUUGUCAAUGAAGUAAAAUUGUCGUACAGGAACGUAAACGCACGUACCCUACUUGCUCGACCUUCUCGGAACCGCAGCAGGAGCUCAACGACGAGCCCAUGGCGGCGACGGAGGCAGUCCGGCCGGCGUGGACGACGUCGGGGACGAUGCCUUUGCUCGUUUCCUUUCCGACGAUGGGGCACGCACAGCUCGACCGGCCGGUGCGUGCGUCUCCCUCGUUCUUGCUUUGUCGCGCACGCUGAUCUAGCUGCUUGGCAACGGCUACUUGUGGGGUUUGGGUUUGUGCCUAGGAGUGAACGAAGAGUGGUGCAGAGACAGGGGGCGAGUGAGAGGAGUACUUAUGCUGUUGGCAGGUCUCUCGAAACCGUCCACGGCCGGCGGACAUCUUGAUGCACCAUUUGUUGAAUCGUGCCAGCACUCUUGGGAUUUUUCUAAUUGGAAGAAAAAACCGUGCCAGUACUAGCUCUGGGUUGACCUGGUUUUGGCGAGUGAGGUAGAACAACUGCCACGUGGAGCAAGGGCACUGGGCGGGGCGCAGUCAAACCGGCGCCGAUUGCAAGCAAGCUGCCGCCAACUUUGUGUCGCUUCCGUAGUUUCCGUGCUCCGCAGCUGGACAAAUAACAGGCCCGCAGGCCGCAACCAUGCUGCUGGGCCGCUGGCUGGCUGAUCUGGGCUGGUUAGGCUGGUGGGCCGCGAGAAUGGAAGCGGUCAUCAUCGAUGGGCUGCUGCAUGGCCUCGGGCCACCCACCAUACAUACGGCCGACGUGUGUGAAUGAAAAUGGGCCGGUGAGGGCCCAAGCUUGAGUCAUUUUGCGCCGCCCUGCAUUUGCAGCAGCAUCCAGAGACCAGAUUUCAAGAGAGUCCACCGAAAACAAAAAAACUUUUUUUUUUGAAAUGGAGUGAAAACAAAAAACUUCAGAACAAAAAUGGCUUCUGAUCGAAGCACAAACCCGGCAAGGGAUCAGGACCUGGUUAUGGGCACUGAAUCACACUGAUGGAAGGAAGACCGAUCCGUUCCAGAGAAUCAAAUCAAAUCCCUCCGGGACUUGGCUGGCACGCUCCGGCACGUCAGGGGCAUCUGAUCCAGCCGGCAGUCCAGUCCUACUCCUAAAUUCCUUGUGCUUCAGGUGCCCUCCCACUAGCAACAAUAUACAAGGGCACAGCACGGAGCACGCCUGGGCGCCUGGCACAGGUGGAAUCCGGGAAUCGGAAUCCGAGUCCCCACGGAAACAGGGACGGUGCGAAAGGGCCUUGGAUGAAAGCCUGAGAUACCAAUUCCUCCGCCGAGAGAAAAUGUUCUUCGUAUACUCUCCUACACAGCUGGGGCCGGAAUAAGCUGGGACCUGGGAUCGGCACGGGACACGACCGAAGCCGCCGCGCACGUAGACUCGGGAAUCAGCACUAUUUUUUGGGAUAAACUCGGGAAUCAGCACUCAGCAUCGACCAUGGGAGUGGAAAAUGUGACCGGAGACGGGAUCGGUCGUCGAGCGGACAUGGACAGGACAGGCGACCUCUCCGCGGCCGCAUGGACAUCCUCGCCGGCGGCUCUGCUGCUGCUACGUCGCCGGCUCGUCGUUCCUGCAAUCCAGGUGCGAAUCCGGCUGCAAAUGGGGAGGAUCCGAACGACCGAAUCGGAAAUCAUGCGUAGGCAUGGUGGUUCGAGUCUAUCCCCGUCAGUGCAUAAGUGCUUGUGAGAACACCAGCUACGGCCAUGGCGAAUGGAUGCAUCCAAAGAAUCCGUGCCAGUGGCAACAGCAUGCGAACGGAUUCUUCGUACGCGUGAGACCGACCGGUCCAGCACCAGCAGUUUUGUUAUUCAGAGGACCGCAUGAUCCGGCGCCGGUCGCAGGAGAUGGCGGAUAAGCACGAACUGACACUGACUCGGAGCUUGCCGCAACAGAAAUCUGCCAUAUCGAGCUGAGCUGACACAGUUGUAACUGCGCCCUGUCUGCCUGCAUCUGCAUGGGACAGGCCACGAUCGAUGACGUUCCAAUCUUGGAGGGGCUUUGAUGUCUCUAUCUGCAGGCCAGUGAAGGCGUCAGGCUGCUUAUUGAAGGAAGGUUGUGCGUGAACUGAUCGAGCGUGUGCGAGCUGGAUCGCUUGCGCUUAUGCAUAUGACAGCUAGCUUCAGGUAACUGCAUAUACAUCUCCAGCAUUGCCGGAUCGGAUAUGUGAACGGUUGGCUUAGAUCACACGAGCGGCCCUGAUCAGCUGAGCUCAUGAAGGAAAGCUCACUUAAUCACUUUUUUUUUUUGCUUCAGAAAUUGAUGGUCUCAUACGCAGAUACGCUUUGAGGCUACCGCGGAACUGCGGUCUAUUGAGCUAGCCAGCACGGAUGUUACACCAUCUAGGUGGCUGGGCCGGCAUGGCCAUCUGCAUCUCAACUCCCUGUCUCACUAUUUUUGUAUCUCUCAUCUACUUUCCCACCUCAGUGGCUCUGUUUUCGGAUGUUUCUUCAGCAAGACAGCAGAUUUACAACACAGAUGUGGUUAUUUGAGUUUCGUUGCCAAAAACCUCAAAGAAAAACAGUCCUUUUUUUAAGGAAGAAGUGGUAGCACAGCUAAUUCAUGUAAGAAGAAAGCAAAUCAAGUUUUACAAAAUAAUUAUAUAAGAUUACAUAUUAACUUUUCUCAAUUUGCAACAUAACGAAACUAGACUACUCGGCCGCUGUUGGUUGGCUCUUCUCUGAAAGAAUAAAUCAAACUAAUUUUCAUUUGUAUGUAUUUGUUUUGUCCUCCACUCCACCUUUUCAAAUUUCAAUAUCCUCUGGUCAAAGUAAUAACUCUCAACAUCCUUCGAGUCAAAUUGUACCUAGCAGUGCGAAAUGAGCUAUUAGAUGUUUUGUGGUGGAACCUAUCCACCCUAGUCCAAGUCUCUGGCUCAGUACGAGUGCUUGUAUUUACGACUAAUUAUUCCCUUAGCCUGGAAGGUGAUGUACUUAUCGACAACACUUGUGGUGACUGCAUCAAUGAAAUAUCCCUUGAUGUGUGUGUGGUGGUGAUGGGGUGGGGGGGGGGGGUGUGUUUGAAUAGGCAUUUCAGAAAAUUUAAACUAAAACAACGAAUUAAAUUCAGAAUCGGCUCAGCUGGUUUGAUCCGGUUAUAGGAACAAACAAAGGAUAAAACCAACAUAAAUCAACCAGUAGAAAUUGCAUUAAAAUAAAUUCCAGCAAGUAGAUUGCGUGAAGAACCCAAAAGUUAAACUAAAAACAAGAGUAUAAAUGAGAUGAACAACAAGAAUACAAGAGACACAAGAUUUAUUCCCCAAGUUCACUCUCAACAAGGAAGCUAUGUCUCCAUUGAUCGAGUAGCGUAUAAAGAGCCACAUCAUCACUAACUCUUUCCCCUUAGCGUCAAAUCCUUCACAAGGAUGGGGCAAUACAAACUUGUGGGGCUACCCACACAAGUUGGGUGCUCAUGGUGAUGCCUAAUUGUUUAGGAGUUUAAGACUCCAAGAGUAACAAACCCAAAUUAUAUUUGAUGGACUUCAAAACUCAAAAAGAUGUAAUGGAAGCUCACACUUGCCCAUUCAAAGGUGCCCUCACAAUCUCCACUUCAAAUCUAGUAAUGAAUACUCAGGAGUGGAUAAGAAGAGGAGUAAAAGCUAGUAGGCAUUUUGUCUUCUGUUAGUUUAAGUGAGCAAGAGAGGUACGAGAGAUAUGGUGAUUGGUGAAGGGGUAUAUACCCUGCCUCCAAAACAUUUCCACUACCUAUGCUUGACCAACAAAAACCGGCUAGCUAGAACCAUGCUCAAACACAAUCAAUGCAGUCAACUCUUAUGCAAACUGACUUGAGUCAGUCUAAAAUUUGCAAAUCUCACAGAGCUAGCCCUGAAACAGUCGAUUAAGCCAAGAGCAGUUGAGCCAGUGGAAACUGAUUGAGCCAAAAACAAAUUAACAAGCAACCUGGGCGCUUGAGCUACUCAGAUUCCGGAAGACCAGCUAAGGUAGAGCAGCUAGAAUAACAAGUUAGUAUUUUUAUUAUGAUGAUUGUGCGAGUAUAUUUAUGGGAUUGUUAGUGAUCACUUAAGCUUUGAAAUUUUUACAAGACACUCAAAUUGGAUCCCCUUGAUAGUACAAUAUCACAUGCUCAAAUUCAAAAAUAAAAUGCAAUUAACCCUUCAACCUAGAUCUGAAAGCAUCGCCAAUAUUUUUCUCUUUUUUAAAUAGGGGUAGUUGCCAUCAAUCUUUUAUACAGUUUUUUAUAUACAAUAUUCUCAUAUUCUUAAUAAACUCAUCACUACUUUAGUUUUUGUUUGUCAUUGAUACACAGAAAUUCACUUAAAAGAGAUGAAUGCACUUUUAGUCAAUCUCAAGAUAAAUCAUCCCAAUAUAUUAGAUGAUUUCAUAUGAGUAAGUAUGCUUGUAUAUAUAUAAGUUGUAAGCAUUUCAUUAGUAGUGUCUUUAUGUAAAAUAAGAAUGCAUGAGAAUGAUUUUCUUUCUGAUUGGCGUGCUACUCCUUUUGAUGAAAAGUAAUAUAUUGAUCAGUUUACACAAGGGUUAGCACUCUCGAAUGGAAAGAAAUGAAACUCAUGCAUUUAAUAUUUAACCUAAAUAAGAGAAAAAUAAGAAUAAACAAAGAAAAAUAUAUUAGGAUGGUGAGCUUUAUUAUAGCACCAAGAUCAGUUGUUUGGUUGAGUGAUCACUACAUUGGACUACAUUCACACUUUAAAUUUCUAAGUACACAUAAUACUACAACAUGGCAUUGCAUAUAAAGUGUUUAAAAGAUUUAUAUAUGUGAUAGCCUAUUUGUGCUUUUGAAAUUGCUCUAGAGAAACCAAGAUUAUAUAUGCUAUGAACCACUCGAACACAUAGGUUUGGCCCAUCCAUAUAAAUUUCUUCAUUCUUACAUGUUUCUUAUGCUAAUUUGAAGUAGUGAAAUUUCAUCUAUUAGGUUGUGAUAUAUGCUAAUAACAAUGGUGGUACCACUUCACCAGUGACAUCGUUGUUUUAUAUUUUUUAUGAAUUAUUUUAUAUAACAUGAUGAUUGUGUAGAAUUGAAUUGAAUAGUUUCAUUGUUUGAGCCUUAUGGGUGGGUUUAUAUAGAUUACAAGUUAGCUUAAAUAUCAAUCAAUUAUAGAGAUAUAUAAAUGUAUUAUAAUUACUAAUUGGAGAUUCUUUUGAAGCCUCCACACAAAUCCUCAUGGUGUCAACAAAUAACCAUUACAUAUAAUUCGCCCACCUGGACCACUAUGAAUAAUAAUAGCAUAAAACAACCCCCUCAAAUCAAUCCUUAACCUUAUAAUAACUAAUACUAUUAAUUUAAAUACUUACGUCUCUCGUUGGAUGUUUCCAGAUCCUUACCCUUUGACAUUUCCAAUCUUUGGAUGUUUUUGGGUGUUAGAUCCACGUCACCAUUAUUUGUCCUACGUGGAGCAGUAGAGGAGAGUUAAAGAGAGGGAAGAUUACCGGAUAUUAACUGGUAGUUAGUCUAUAUAACAUAAUCCAAGAGGCAUGCUGAAUUUAAUGGCCCUAUCACAUUUGCCCCAUAUUAAAUUGGGAGAGCAUAUGCUAUGGUUAGUUCAUUGGAGGGAUAUCUAAUGUGCCAUCUAUAUACGACACGAGCAACUCUUAUAGCCACUGAUUUUACUUAGAGAUGCUCCUAAUAUCACACUUUGCAGUUGAGGCGUGCAGGAACGGGCCCAGAAGGCCAGAAUAGAUCCCCUGCAGAUCAUCAUUUUCAUCUAGAGUGAAGGCACUGGUCAUGCAGUGGCUGCGAUCCCAUUUUCAGGCUCUUUGAGCUGUAACCUUUCCGAUUAACGUGGAAGUUGGAACUGCAUUCUGUUGGUCUCGUCAGCACGGAUGCCACUACCAGCAACAGCAAGGCCGGCAUGGCCAUCAGCAACUCUGCAACCUGUCUCACUGCAUCCUCUGUCUUUCUAUUCUCAAGUCUGAACCAGUGGCUUCUGGUUGAUAACUUCAGCAAGCGCAUACAAACAGAUGAGCUGAACUAUUUUAUGCCAAGGUUAAUGUACUUCACUUAAACAUUGCCUACGCUGUUGCCCUGUUGGCUGUACCUGAACAUCGAUCCAUCUGAAUUUCUGAAAUGAGUUCUUCUUCGGACAUUCGCAAAGUUUACAAAUGUUUGCAAAAACUCGUUUUUCAUUAAAAUUUUCACCCCAGGACCAACCAAUCACGUCAAGAGUCAAGAAUCUACACCUAUGCCUAAAUCUAACACACCAACAAGAGGGAAAUGGAGAAGGAAAUCAAAAGAGAAAUAAUUCGAUCGCCUGCUUUUUAUUGCAAAUUUUCUUGCAGCGUCGUCGCACUGCUGCUGCUGCUGCUGCUUUCACGGCUCCGGCUCACGGCGCCGGCGUCGUCGUCCGCUCCGACCCGCGGCUGCGAGCUGGUCUGCUCCGCGCAGCCGCUGUCGUCCUGCACCGGCGCCUUCUUCUCCUCUCCCGAGCCGGAGCCACCGCACGAGCCCGGCGCCGUUGGCACGGCUCCUAGCUCCACGACGGCUCGGCUGGCCGCCGGCAUGGCGAGGAAGGUCGGCAUCUCCUCGCCGGCCAUGAUGACCACCACGUGCUCCUGGAACCCCGCCGCCGGCCUGGCCGCGCCGGCCGCCGAUCCCUUCUCCCCGUCGGCGCCGGCCUCCCCGGCCCGCCGGUCGCGGUCGGCGUCGAGGUACCCGGACAGCUUCCAGUAGGAGCAGGCCAGGAUGAGCAGCGCGAAGGCGAUGAGCCCCAGCAUCGCCGCCAGCCCGCCGAAGAGGUACGGCACCGGCGACUGCCACGGGGAGUGCGGCGCCGUCCCGUUCGCCCCCGGCGCCGCCGUCGGCGCGCCGUGGCCCAUGGUGGGGAACUCUGCUCCUGGCCUCAUGGUUGCUCGAGUUCUUCUCUUGCAGUUCGUUAUGUGAGAGAGGACAGAGGAGAGAUCAGGGGAGUUCUUGUUCUUGCAGGUGGUGUGGGAUGGUGAGAGGGAGUGGGAGCUAUUUAUACACAGGCUGGAGAUCACAUAGGUGUGUGCAAAUGCUUGUGAAGUGUGAUGCCAAGGCCCAAGGGGGAUAACAAAAAAAGACCAAUGGGGAAAGGGUUUUAUGUUGCCAACUUUGGUUAGUUUAAUUAACCAGUUAGGUUACAUGUUGGUGCUUAAGCAGAUAAGAUGGAUAUGCUUCCAUGUCCGAGAUCAUUGUAACUUGUAGGAUAGUUAACUUGGGUGGAAUUAAGCAACCAUUGCAAUGAUGAAAAAGUUUUGGAGUUUCCUAUGGGGAUGUGAGUAAUUUAAUUUGGAUUCUACACCACGUGUUGAAGAGACAGGUUCUACUCUGCGCAGUGCGCAAGAACAGUUUUUUUUUACCCGCAAAAAGAAAAAGAAAAAGAAAAGUUAAGCUGAAGCCUUUAGCUUUGCAUGUAUCAUUGGUUCGGAGCUGGGAUAAACUUGUCAUACUCUGAAACUCAUGAUUCUGAAUUUGGUUUCUGAAAUGCAAGGGCUUAUGAUCACUUUGCUUUUGAAAAGAAGGUUGUAGAACUACACUUUUGAUUGUUAAGUCUCGAAAAUAUAACUACUGCAAGGCGCAAAAUUUGUAGGAAUUACGCAUCGAUCGCAUUGCGUGUUCAUGUGGAUGGGCAUACGUUGGCGGGAGGGAGAGGUCAUCCAGAACUGUACGAGAAUGAUUGCUUGUGCACUGAUUACUGGAAGACUCCAAACCGAAAAAUAAAAGCAAUCAAGUUAAUGAUGAGGUUUAGGAGGUACGUAAGCAUCAUCAUAUCCUAGCUUCAAUUCUUUGGCAACUAAAUUAAUGCAGAGACAGAGAUAUGCUGGUACCAACAAAGGGGAGCAUUGCAGAUGUGUCCUAAGUGUGGUACUAGCUUUAUAUAGUAUAUGUCCUACAUAAACUAACUACCUAGCUGAUCUAGCUCGGCCAAAAACCAGCAAUCCAGCAUAUUCAUAGCUUCUCAGAUACAGGAAAAAAGGGGUUCAUUUACAUGUGAUGCCUUUUCCUUUAACCCUAUGGAAAUUGAAAUGGUGUUUCUUGGAUUAAUUGUUGCAAAACUCAGGGCCUUAUUCUUUUACAGCAGGGCCUUGCUAGGGUACUCAAGGUUACCUCCUAGGAGGCAAGAGCGCAAGAACGUACCAAGCCUUCAUAUUUGGGCUCGCCUAUUAAUCGUUUUUGAUUUUCUUUUAAUUCGCAAUACAUUGGCAUAUAUUCAUUUGAACCAGGGGUUGAUUGUAUUUACAGAAGUUAGGUGAAACACAUGCAUCUUAAUAAUAACACAAGUCGUCAAUUACUACUUUCAAUGUAAUAAAGGUCAUGUCCUUAUCCUUAAGCAUCAGUUUAGCUAGCUUAAUCCAUCACUUAGUGGAGCUUUACCAACAACAAUAUGGAUUACGUCUGCCAACUUUAGCUAACAGAUCUAGCGUGGCAGAUAUGGUGAGUGGAGCAUUGAAGCAGAGCAGGUCCCAAUAGAAUGAUCGCACUCUAUAUACUUUAGAAUCACAUAUCCUGCUCUACUUGCAGUAGUAUUCCAUUAAGCCACUUUUAAUCAAAACAUAUAUUCCCUCAUUAACCUUUCCAUCAGCACUUUUUGUUUGCGAUUAUUCUUUUCGUUAACUUAAUAUGCUCAUCUAAGAGUAGUGAUGCAUCAGAAGACACCUUUUUAUUUGCAUUGCCUUCAGGAGGAUAUGUACUAUGUGCAUACAAAUGUAAACUAUACACACAGUGCAUUUCUUUGUUGUGUUGCUUGGUGUGAGCUUAUCCACAGGAGAAUGGGGGCCCACUGCCUAGGGUUUGUAUUUUAUCCAGAGACAUGGGUAUAAUGUCUCGAUUUCACAAACAUCCCCAAUGUUUUCUCUCUCCCUCUCAAAGGAAAAAGCAACACCAAUAUAUGUUUUGUAGCGCAUUUUCGAUCGAUCCAUUUGUAUCGCCGAUGAAGCUACAUGUAUAUGUGUCUAGUAUAGCUAGGCUUUGGAGUCCAUGUGAUGAAUGGAUUGAUCUGAUCAUCAUAUCCUUCAGAAGUUUUCAUUUUUUUAAAAAAAUUCAUGUUCCUCUAAAAUUACCUUGUCUUAUAUCCUCUCUGAUCGUUUUCAUGUACUCUGUUGGUUAUAUGAUUGAUGGCAGCAGUGAGCCCUUCUGAAACUUUUUUUUAAAAAAAGAAUACUCAUAUCACAUACGUAAGCUAACUAUAAAGCAAAGAUAUAUGAAUAGCAAUCAAUAAAAUUGACAUGAUGGUGAUGAGAGUGAUGCUUUAUUUAUGUGCAUCAUUUGCAAUCCAAAUGAUCAAAUAAUUUCUUAUAAAAAAUGAUCAAAUAAUUUAAUUGGGUUUACUUGCGUGUUAGGCUUUGUAGUUGUAGGAGAGAACUUUUCUCGAUCAAGUGGCAUCAUCUUACUUUGCCAUGGUGAUUGAUUCCACUCUUAAGGGAUACCAUUGGUAGCCCACAGUUUCUAAGUAAUUGUUGGCUUGUUAGUGCAUGAUGAUGAUGGCCUUGGUUUUGGCUCAAGCACGUGUUCACAUACAAGUGCAUCACCUGGGGGCUGGGGGCUGGGGGCUGGGGGCUGGGGCCUGCUGCUUUAUGUGGUUCGGCUCACAUGCAUGUUGCCACCUCUAAUUGGGUGGUUAUGCGGUACUGUCUCAGCAACGGUAGAAGUAUUAUGAGGCGUUCAUGUCGCGUUCCGUUCGGAUUUGCGUUAAAAUCAUGGUUGACUUGACUUCCAGCAACAAAUAUCGAUCUGAUGUGACACCUCUGAUGCAAAGAGUGAAAUUAAUCUAAUAUAAAACACACAAGUCUAAUUUUGGUUCAAUUCCUUUAAAUGUGGAGCCUAAUAAAUCUUGGUUCCAUUCAUUAAUUAGUCUCUGGUCUAAACAGGUCCAGCAAAAUUGUGGAAGAUUUUUACAUAAUUUCGCACAAAUCUGUCACUUCGAAUUCUUUUCUUGUACAUGUCUCAACCAACUGCCAAGUUCCUUUUUACCAAUACAUAAAUAAAAACCGAAGCAAGUUGGCACGCUUUGCAAUGAAAAAAAAUUAGGGCCUAGGAGGAUUACAUCUAGGUAGAGCUACCAUGGCUUCAAGAUUCGAUGUGGAUGUGUGGAUAGAUGGUAUAUCAAUCAAAAUUUGCGCCUGAGAUGGAAUCCGACCAACAAUCAUGUGGUGGUGGUGUGUGUGUGUAUAUCUUCAGGAGCUAGCAGGGCACAUUUUCAGAUGUGGGUGUCUCAUAAAGUCGAUCAUACCCGGAUGACCAAUGGGGUGCUGCCAAAAAACUAUUUUGGUUUUUUUUUUCUGAGAAUAAAGACUGUUGGUCUUUUAUUGAUGGCUCCAAUGAUGGGCUAGAAGCUGGUCGUAUCUUUUGCCUAAGAAUUCUCUAGAAAUACGUCCACCUGUCACACUAGAUCCUUGAGAUGUUGGUAUGUCCAUACUCUCACGUACAUACCACUGGUCCUUAGGCUACCCCUUUUCAACUGUAUGGGUUUAUGGAUCACCCUGCCAUCCUCUUUUAUUGGAUCAAUGUGGAAAUUUGUAGCCAAAUUUCUCUUAUUUCCACAUGUAAAGGGCAGCUAUCGCCGGUCAAAUAAGCCUACAAUUCUUAUGUAUAAAGACUUACUCUCUCCAUGUUUUAAGGACAUGCUAAGAUUUUAUAAAAUCACUAAAAGUGUAAUUUGACGAAUAUUUUUUCAAUAAUGCACUAUCAAUUUCUAUAAAAUUUAUAUCAUACUAAAAGAUAUAUGAAAUAUGUACCAAUGCAACUUUUAUGUACUAACCAUUGUAUUAUGAGUUGAAACUUUCGAGCAUUUAUAUUUCAGAUCCUAAUUCACCAUUUAACAAAGAAAGGGGAGCAAUUUUCAUUUGUGUUGCGAACAAAGAUGAUUCGCUCAUGAGCUGAGUGUAGCUCAAUUGAUUAGAUUUUUAGAAGUAGAACCUGUCCAACCAGAUUCAAAUUCUAGACUUAUAGCAUUGCAAUGUAUUUUGAAAAUUCUAUUUAAGGAAAUACACGCUAUGCACGUUCUAAAAAAAUAAUGUAUUUUUGGGGAAAAAAAAGAAGAUGGCUGGCCUGAUACAUGGCUUCACCGAGCAAAAACCACUUGAGCUGCAUUACUGCUAGGCUGCAAGUCUGCUAACGGUAUGUGCUCAAGUCAGGCUCUGUUGCAUGCGCUCCUGACGAAAGCAAACUCCACGCAACGCCGUCGGGGAACCGCAACCGCGCGCGCUGUUGCGUGCGUAGACGAGCCACCACCGUUGCUCCCACUAGCCACCGAACGAACCGUGGCAACACCGUCACCUAGGCAACGGCACUGUGUGUAUAACACAGAAUAACGGCAGGUGACGACAGCACUCAUCAAUCAGCCACACAUCACAGUCUCAUGCAUCCUCGUAGUACCACCUUUUUCAUAGGUCAUUUCAUACUUGCAAAUAUGAAAUUAUUUGCAAAUACUUGCAAAUAAUUUCAUGGUGGACGGAUGUUUAGAUGCUGGUUCAUUUUUUUAUAACUCGGUCAUAGUGAGGUAACUUUAACUUAGAAUAUAGAAUAGAACUAAAACAACUUACAUUUCGAAAAGAACGGAGUACUUAGCAGGGUAUUGCAGUCUCUCCACUUUUAACCGUAAUAUUUGUCUCAAAUAAUGCUUAGAUAUGAUAUUAGUAUAUAAUAUGCUAGCUUGAUCUUCAUAGCAUUGGCGGUGAGCCCGAUCCUUCAAAUCUAAGUUAUAUAUAUACUUCAUCAGUUGGAGAUGAUGAGGUCCAGCCUUCUCUUCUACUAAUAACAUAUGUAAAAUAAACAAUCCACAUCUUCUCAGUAGGAAUGCUAAAGUCCUUGUGUUGCCUGGAAACCUAAUUAACUUCACCAAUACUUCUUGGCCACAAACCCCAUACACAUGUCCUAUGCCGCCCUCAAGCACCAAACCCUAACUUCCAAUCGAAAUCUAUAAUUCUAGUGGCUGCAAUUUAUACUCUAUCGAGUCGUAUGUACCAAUCAGUUUAAUCUAAAAGCUCGAGUUAAUAAAGAAAUGUGCAAUUCACUUAUAUACUUCAACAGCAAUACAGCAUGGAUGUUUCGGCUUGAUUUUAAGCGAAUUAAUUUCCUAAACCACACAUCUAUUCUCUCUCUCUCUCUCUCUCUCUCUCUCUCUCUCCAUCCGAUGGCUGACAUUACAAGUUGGAGGUGCGCUCUUUGAUUGCCUCAGUAUGGUCACACACAAGGCACUCCAAGUAUUAGCCUGCUGACAUCUCAGAUACCAUCGACACAUCACCCUGUUGAGAUUACUAGCGUGUCGACUACAACACCGCGGGCUACAAGUUGUGCUGCACUAAUCAGCCGCAAUAACACAACAUGACUUGCCAGUUGAUGCGGAUCAUUAAGAGCACCGGAAUCCUACUACAUGAUUACAUGAACCCAAUGGCAAAACGUGGCACGAAUACAUGGAAUCCUGCAGUGUUUGUGUGCUAUUGCCAGUCACCAUCCCAAUAGCAUUUCCACUUUUUUUUUCAGCGAGCUGAAUCUGCAGUUGCAUCAUCUGAAACUGAAUUUGCUGUACACUUGCUAACCAUGUGACGUGCCAAUGCCGCUACCCAGCAGCCUUUCCCUGUGGGCUGCAGAUUCAGUGCCGCUUGGAUUUGUGCAAUGCAAGAAUCCUCCUCCACUGGCCACUGUGCUCAUGCAAAAGUCAGAGCAGAGGAACCUGACAGAUUCAUCGGCUUCUGUUUGGUGAGCUUCCUAGUGAGUUCUUGACAAUGAUGGCGAGCAUCUGAUGCUUCAGAAGAUGCCAGACUCAACGAAGUCUCAAGUCUGGGGUUAUCUGGCUCCAGGAUAUCGAUUCGGUUUCUUGCCUGAUUGAGAGUUUCAGCUCUCUCUCUUUUUUCCCAGUGAAUCGAAGUAAGAAAAUAUCUACAGAAUAAGCAGAUUUCAGAUGCAUGGAAUGGAAGUUCUUGCGUUGCAGCACGUGUUGCAGAAGGGCUGCUUAUCAAGCACUAUACAAGAAAGUGAGAUCCAUCCAUCAAAUGAUCAAAUGCAUAUGUCGUCAUCCUGAUUCCUUUUGGUAACUGAAGAUGGAUGGCAUCAUGCGACUGGAGCUCACUGGAGGAAAUGGCUGCUGAUCUGCAGCUCUUUCUUGCCACCGAUUGGCGAUUGCGGUCGAGCCGACGAAGAACCUCAGCUGCGGAAACAAUGCAUGAAAGAGACAACAGGCCUGUUCCAUGAUACAUCAGCCCUAACCCUAGCAGCCCUUGUGCACAACUGCUCUCCACUGCCGAGAUAAACAACUUUCCCUAAGCAUGAUGAGCAAGGGAGGAUAGCUUUAUCCAUGCCAUUGCGACGUCCCUUUCUGUGUGCUACUUUCAACUGCUGCUAGUGCUAGUGACACAGGCACUUGCAAUCAGGAAUAAACAAUGCUGAAACCAGAACAAAAUCUUUAUUCGACCGGCAGCUGUAGGAUCAUCUGCCAGAAAGACAAGGGCAUCGCGAUUAAGAAAUUGCGCUUCAGUCUUGUGCAUCAAGGGAAAACAAAAGAUUUGAUGCAAAUCUACUGUCAGUGAUAGGAAGGGGAAUACAUAACACUGGGGAUCAGUGCAGGUCCCAUUCAGAAGAGGAAAGUGUCCUCUAUUCAGAUGAUGGCUGCUUUACUCCAACAUAAUGAUCUGGGAGAGAUCGUUUAGCCUUUAUUAUCCGUGUGGAGCCUCAAUACAAGUCUUUCCAGUUUUCCUUGGCCAAUUGUUUUUUCUGCAGUCGCUUUAUCCAGUGCCCAACAGAGAAUUUAUUGGGAACAAAAGAGGUACAAAUAAUUGCUUGGCCUUUUUAUAAUUGAGAAAUUUCUAAAGAUGAUGUAGUUAUAAUUACUUAAAUAUACUUCUGCGGUCGGGCAGAUUAGUUGAUGCCAACUGGUGUCAUGUUUCACAUAUAGCAUGAUGUGAAGAAUAUGGCGCUAUAAAUUUUUCCCCCAUAGAAUGAAAACAUAAGAAGCUCCUUAUGUUGCUGCAUCUAUAAUGGAAUCAAUGUUUGAACUUUUACAGCAUCAGUUUAGUUGGUUUAACGUCAUCGUAUACAGCAUUUACAAUGUGCCCUCUAUUAUAGCUGGCAGUGCAUGAACAUAUUAUUAGCAGAAAUGAUUAAAAUAAGUUUGUAUCAUAAAGAAGACAUCUUUAAUCCUGAAUGUUAUAGAAACGCGCAUAUAUAUAUUGAUAGCUGUUUCACACUACAAUAUGAGCUUUGGUUCUCCAUCACAUCAUCAUAAAACCGAUGUUGCUCCUGAUACAGAUAGAUGGCUAACUGCUAAAGGAUAAGAACCUCCAUAACAAUUAUAUACAGGAAUUAUGUCUCAUACAACGAAUGAGGAUCCUAAAGUUUUGAGUCAGCUAUCCGAUCUUACUGAUGGGGCUAGGUCAGAUUCAGAAUGCUCUCUAAAAAAGAGCUCUGUCUCCAUCUCCCAAUAGUAAGGUAAAGCGGUCGACAAGACAGGAUACGCUAUAUUUAUUACGCAUUGAUUUACAAGAAAAGGACCGAUGUGAUUUCACAAAACUUUCCUAAGCUACAAAUUACCUUUCUACUUUACAAUAAUUGGUUAGUCAUUGAGAUGGCAAAUACCGCUGCAGGCAUUCUUUUAUAUUCUGAAAGUUCACAGGCUUAGAUAUGUAUGAAUCCAUGCCUGCAGCAAGGCAUUCAUCGGCACUCUCAGAAAACGAAUUUGCUGUCAUCUGCAAAGAAUCAGGAGAUUUUACAGGGUUAUAGACAUAACCUAGGCUUGGAAGAAUACAAUUUAAUAUAACACGAAGAUUCUAUUCUCCGUGUGAUCAAGAAAAUAGCAAAUAUAUGAAGUAGCAUGCAGGCAAAGCGGGGUCUUAGUUGGUAAGAGUUUAGAAUUGUGUAUAGAUAAACUUACCGCAAUUAUAGGGACCCUCUGCCCUUGCCGUUUUGCAGGUGUACAAUCUGAUGAAAUAGCAGGGUCAGCUAUCAUCUGAUCAUCUUCAGGCUUUACAGAAGCGUCCCAAUAGCCGGUGUUCUCAAAAGAACGUAUAUGUUUAGUGGCUUGUAGGCCAUCCAUUUCUGGCAUGUGAACAUCCUAUCAAGGAGAAACCAUUACAUUUUGAUUAGAGUGGAAGCAAAAUAUUGUAACAUAUAACAGACAUUUUCACUUGGGUUCGUGGCAUAUAAAUAUUGAUAUCAAACCACAAGGUGCUGUCAUGAUUUAAAAGUUCUUUUUUUUUUCCUAUGGUAGUACAGGACUACCAAGACUAACACCUGUACUAUUUCACUAGUGAGAUGGGAAAAAAUGAAGAAUAGUAACUCUUAACAGUAUUGGUGAAGUGCUUCGAACCAUUAUCCAAGGUGUACCAAGCCAAUUUCGAUGGUUGGCAUAACCUUUUGCCUAUAAUUCAUCUCAUUGGUGUAUAUCUUAUUAGCACAAAAUCAAGAAGUUCGUUUGAUGUUGAGGUGAGGCAAUUGUGAACUAAAAUGACAACAUCUUAUAAGGAUGAAUUGAAGUAAAUACAAAAAAAAAA
rnacentral:lncRNA from 1 species